GUUGACCUCGAUCAGAAUCCCAGGCCCAGCCCCCCC
rnacentral:rRNA from 1 species